UACGAAGGGGGCGAGCGUUGUUCGGAGUUACUGGGCGUAAAGGGCGCGUAGGCGGCGCUCCAAGUUAGGCGUGAAAGCCCCGGGCUCAACCUGGGAAUUGCGCUUAAGACUGGAGUGCUCGAGUGCGGAAGAGGUGAGUGGAAUUCCCAGUGUAGAGGUGAAAUUCGUAGAUAUUGGGAAGAACACCAGUGGCGAAGGCGGCUCACUGGUCCGCAACUGACGCUGAGGCGCGAAAGCGUGGGGAGCAAACAGGAUUAGAUACCCUGGUAGUCCACGCCGUAAACGAUGAGUGCUAGACGUUGGGGGACUCAGUCCCUUGGUGUCGCAGCUAACGCAUGAAGCACUCCGCCUGGGGAGUACGGCCGCAAGGUUAAA
rnacentral:rRNA from 1 species